rnacentral:lncRNA from 1 species
GCAAAAUGAACUGAACAUAUAAAACAAGUUGUAAGGACAGGCCAAACGUCAGGUCUGUAUCUGAGAAUAGAGUUAAUAAUGGAAUGCGCACUCAGGACCCUUUGAGCAUGCUGGGGAAAAGUUAAUUUAAAACUUCCCUAUGAAGAACAGAGGACCACGAAACCCACUUAAAACAUUUCUGAAAAGCAUCAGAAAAUAAGGGGGAAACCUGUAAGUGGGAAGCAUCUCAGGUUUGUGCUGUGAGCCAUGUAGGUAAAAGAGAAAAGUUCGAAGGCAAAUGAGACAGGUUGAGAAAAGUAUUUUGCUGACCUUAAACUAUGGGCACCAGGGUGGC